rnacentral:rRNA from 1 species
AACGAACGCUGGCGGCAGGCUUAACACAUGCAAGUCGAACGGGCGCAGCAAUGCGUCAGUGGCAGACGGGUGAGUAACACGUGGGAACCUUCCUUAAGGUACGGGACAACUCAGGGAAACUUGAGCUAAUACCGUAUACGUCCGAGAGGAGAAAGAUUUAUCGCCUUUAGACGGGCCCGCGUCGGAUUAGCUAGUUGGUGGGGUAACGGCCUACCAAGGCGACGAUCCGUAGCUGGUCUGAGAGGACGACCAGCCACACUGGGACUGAGACACGGCCCAGACUCCUACGGGAGGCAGCAGU